GACGAACGCUGGCGGCGUGCUUAACACAUGCAAGUCGAACGAAGUGGCGAACGGGUGAGUAACGCGUAAUCAACCUGGCCUUCAGAGGGGGACAACAGUUGGAAACGACUGCUAAUACCGCAUACUGAUGAAGGGGAUUGGGUCUGAUUUGCUAGUUGGGAGGGUAACGGCCCACCAAGGCGAAGAUCAGUAGCCGGUCUGAGAGGAUGCACCGCCACAAUUGGAAUGGUGCACCGCCCAGACUCCUACCGGAGGCAGCAGUGGGGAAUCUUCCGCAAUGGACGGAAGUCUGACGGAGCAACGCCGCGUGAGUGAUGACGGCCUUCGGGUUGGAAAGCUCUGUUAAUCGGGACGCGGUACCGGAAUAGAAAGCCACGGCUAACUACGUGCCAGCAGCCGCGGUAAUAC
rnacentral:rRNA from 1 species